UACCAGCGUGUCAAAGCUUGAACUCAUCAGAUCUCAGAAGCUAAGCGGGGCUGGGGCUGGUUAGCACUUGGAUAGGAGACCGCUGGGAGUACCAAGUG
rnacentral:rRNA from 1 species